AUUGAACGCUGGCGGCAGGCCUAACACUUGCAAGUCGAGCGAGCGGCGGACGGGUGAGUAAUGUCUGGGAAACUGCCUGAUGUAGUGGGAUAACUACUGGAAACGGUAGCUAAUACCGCAUACCAUCAGAUGUGCCCAGAUGGGGUUAGCUAGUAGGUGGGGUAACGGCUCACCUAGGCUACGAUCCCUAGCUGGUCUGAGAGGAUGACCAGCCACACUGGAACUGAGACACGGGCCAGACUCCUACGGGAGGCAGCAGUGGGGAGUAUUGCACAAUGGGCGCAAGCCUGAUGCAGCCAUGCGGCGUGUGUGAAGAAGGCCUUCGGGUUGUAAAGCACUUUCAGCGGGGAGGCGUUACCCGCAGAAGCAGCACCGGCUAAAUCCGUGCCAGCAGCCGCGGUAAUUC
rnacentral:rRNA from 1 species